rnacentral:rRNA from 1 species
GCGCCCUACGGGACGCAGCAGUGGGGAAUAUUGGGCAAUGGGCGCAAGCCUGGCCCAGCAACGCCGCGUGAAGGAAGAAGGCUUUCGGGUUGUAAACUUCUUUUCUCAGGGACGAGGCAAGUGACGGUACCUGAGGAAUAAGCCACGGCUAACUACGUGCCAGCAGCCGCGGUAAUACGUAGGUGGCAAGCGUUAUCCGGAUUUACUGGGUGUAAAGGGCGUGUAGGCGGGAAAGCAAGUCAGAUGUGAAAACCAUGGGCUCAACCUGGGGCCUGCAUUUGAAACUGUUUUUCUUGAGUACUGGG